UACGUAGGGACCAAGCGUUGUCCGGAAUCAUUGGGCGUAAAGAGCGUGUAGGCGGCUUGUUAAGUCUUGCGUGAAAUCUCGGGGCUCAACCCCGAGCGGUCGUGAGAAACUGGCAGGCUAGAGUGCGGGAGAGGAGAGUGGAAUUCCUGGUGUAGCGGUGAAAUGCGCAGAUAUCAGGAGGAACACCGAUGGCGAAGGCAGGUCUCUGGGCCGAUACUGACGCUGAGGAGCGAAAGCGUGGGGAGCGAACAGU
rnacentral:rRNA from 1 species